UACAGAGGGGGCAAGCGUUGUUCGGAAUUACUGGGCGUAAAGGGCGCGUAGGCGGCCGCCUAAGUCAGACGUGAAAUCCCUCGGCUCAACCGGGGAACUGCGUCUGAUACUGGGUGGCUUGAAUCCGGGAGAGGGAUGCGGAAUUCCAGGUGUAGCGGUGAAAUGCGCAGAUAUCAGGAAGAACACCCGUGGCUAAGGCGGUUCUCUAGUACGGUACUGACGCUGAGACGCGAAAGCGUGGGGAGCGAACAGG
rnacentral:rRNA from 1 species